AGAGUUUGAUCCUGGCUCAGAAUAAACGCUGGCGGCGUGCCUAACACAUGCAAGUCGAACGAGAAAGCCCGGUUUCGGCUGGGCGAGUAAAGUGGCGCACGGGUGAGUAACGCGUAGGUAACCUGCCCCUGUGUUCGGGAUAACAGUGCGAAAGCGCUGCUAAUACCGGAUGUGGCAAAGAGAUGGAGGUUUCUUUGUCAAAGUCGGCCUCUCGAAGAAGCUGACGCGCGGGGAUGGGCCUGCGUCCUAUCAGCUAGUUGGUAGGGUAACGGCCUACCAAGGCGACGACGGGUAGCUGGUCUGAGAGGAUGAUCAGCCACACUGGCACUGACACACGGGCCAGACUCCUACGGGAGGCAGCAGUGAGGAAUUUUGCGCAAUGGCCGCAAGGCUGACGCAGCAACGCCGCGUGGGUGAAGAAGGCCUUCGGGUCGUAAAGCCCUGUCAGGUGGGAAGAAUGUCGGGGGGUAUAAUACAUCUCCCGAGUGACGGUACCACCAGAGGAAGCACCGGCUAACUCCGUGCCAGCAGCCGCGGUAAUACGGAGGGUGCAAGCGUUAUUCGGAAUUACUGGGCGUAAAGCGCGUGCAGGCGGGCGAGCAAGUCUGAUGUGAAAGCCCCGGGCUCAACCUGGGAAGUGCAUUGGAUACUGCUCGUCUUGAGUUCUGGAGAGGAAGGGGGAAUUCCCGGUGUAGAGGUGAAAUUCGUAGAGAUCGGGAGGAAUACCAGUGGCGAAGGCGCCCUUCUGGACGGCAACUGACGCUGAGACGCGAAAGCGUGGGGAGCAAACAGGAUUAGAUACCCUGGUAGUCCACGCUGUAAACGAUGAGCACUAGGUGUAGCGGGUACUCACUCCUGCUGUGCCGCAGCUAACGCGUUAAGUGCUCCGCCUGGGGAUUACGGUCGCAAGACUAAAACUCAAAGGAAUUGACGG
rnacentral:rRNA from 1 species